rnacentral:lncRNA from 1 species
AGCAGAGGAGCUCAACUAAAGGGCUAAAUAAAAGCACGCGGGUGGCACACUGAAAUGUCGUAGAAGGCAGGAAGCCCCGCUACUAUGAACCUACAACUCUCCGUUUGCGGCUGACGCAUCGCUCCUGCCCGCACGCACCUGGGUCCGUGCCAACAGCACCGGGCAGCCCUCGCCAGGCACCUCCAAGGACUCUCCACCUCCCCGGCGCGUCCUACACCUGACGGCCGAGUUCUAAACCUGGCGGAAAGGUGACAAGCGACGCCCUCCGCGGAACCCGAGGGCCGGCUGCAGCGAGCUCUCCCCGGGCCGGGGCAGGGGUCGGGGGGCGGCUCUCACUCCCAAGGGGUCCCGCGCCGUGCCCUAGCCUCCCCGCGCCGCUGACAGCCGGGAGCGGGCGACAGACGCAGCUUGCGCCACCUCCAGAGCCCACUCCCCGCCGCAGCCCAGAGCGCACGCCCUCGGGUGCCCAGCCGCCCACGCCCCGCCGAAGCACGCCGUCGGCCUCUGGGGCCAAGGACGCGGGCCCAGGCGGACCGCGGCGCGGGCGGGACCGGACGCCCAGGAGGCGCCCCCGCGGGACCGCAAGAUGGCGGCGGCGGCGGCGCCAGGGCCGGGCUCCCCUCCGCCUCGCCCCGGCCGGCGCGCGCACCGCAGCGAGGGCGGGCGGGAGGGGAUGAAGCGGGCCGGAGCAAGGGGCAGGCCGGCCGAGGUGGCGGCAAGAAAGCAGCCGGGAAAGGGAAGGCGCCGGGGCGUGGGGGAGGGGGCGCUCCCUCGGGCCAGGGCCGCGGACGUGCCCUCCGCGCCCCCCCGCCGACAGCCAGCGGUCCGCGCGCCCCACCCCACCCGGGGGUGUCCCCGUUCUGCCUACCUUUGAAUUUGAGGUCUGUGGGCGGAUCGAGGACCAGGAUCUGCUCGUGCUUCGCCAUGGCCCCUGAGGCGGACGCCAUCGGAGAGACAGCGCAGAGCGGGGGCGCGCCCGCGGCGGCGGUUUGCUGACUGGGGGCGGGGGACGACGGCGGCGACGGCUCGGCCGAGCUCUAGGACGAGGCCAGGCUCGCGGCUCCCGAGCCCUAACGCCUGCCGCUGUGUCACCGGUUCGGUGGGCCACCCGCUGGGUCAGCAGCUCCGGGUCCCACAACUGACUCAACCCCACACCAGCCGCCACGGCCACGCGCACUUGCGAGCCUCGGCGACCCACGUGACGGCCUCUGCGUGCCUACGUGCGCGCCCCCGGCCGGGAGCUUCUAGCGCUUGUCCCGCCCUCCAGGCCGGCCUAGCGCGGCGCGGGGCUGCUGCGCCUGCGCGCUCGCGGCUUGCCGCGGCCCGGAGCGCAGCCCAGCUGUCAAGGGAACGGGUGUGGAAGGAGGCGGGGCAAAGGUCCGCGGGACCGACGCGAUGCGCAGCGCAGGGCUGGAAGCGCAGUCCUCUGUCACCUUGAGCUCCGAGUACGGAACUAGAGAAACUGCUCUGGCAGCGCAUCACACUCUUCCAAGUGGGAAUGCCCAGUGGAAGGGACAAGUAGUAGUAGGGAAGCGCCCACUCACUACAACUCCCGGCAUGCCCCCUGCGGGGCGGGGCCUUCGCCGAGGGCCUGGCCCUUUGCGGCCCUGCGCGGUGCUUGCUGGGAACUGUAGUAACGGCUGUUUGAGGGUGGAAAGGAGAGCUAGGUCUGUUGGAGGCAAUGGGGUGGGGUUCGCGGACGCUAAUUUUGGCUCUCAGAGCGCGUCUAGUUUGCGCUAAAAAAGAAAAAACUUGAAGACUGAAACGAGGCCCCAAUGUUAGAAAUAUAUUAAUAAAAUCUGCCCUGUGGAGAACAGGCGUGGGGGGAUGUGUCCGUUUGCUCUAAUUCUAUCCAGUCCUCUGUUGGCAGGGCUGCAUUCCCCGUGGUAUCCAAUUCAGCCUCUCCUGCUUCCUGAGUUCUCUCCAGUGAUGCAAAAUCAGAUAAGGAAACACACCUCGUCUAGGAAGCAAGGGGAAAUAUGACAAAGCACACAGAAACUAGAAAUAAAAGUCAAAAAUCUACACCAUCGAACCCAAAUAAUCUUCUUCAGUUUUAAUGAUGGACCCAAACCAAAACAGUUCUCACGUUCACAUGUUAGAAACUAACUCCAUCUGCAUCACUUACGAUAGGCUGUAGUAAACUGAACCAAAUAAGAAAAAUCCCAGCAGCAAACUUGCUGACAAAACUUUAGCCGAUUGCCAGGGUAGUCCGGUACAGGAACGUCAAAUGAAACCAAUGUGCUGUAAAUAAACCUUUAUUGUAUUUUGUGAUACGGUUUGAAUUUAAAUCCCUAGGUAGCGCCACGAAACAAAAGACAUAUUGAUGCUACUGCCAUGGAGCAGCACAGUUUGUCUAGAAAAUAAACGAGACGAAACAGCAGUCUAGAAGUAGGCACCAAAUCCAAGUUUUCAUGUGCGAUCCAGGUAUUAGGGUCCAUCCAGGAACAGCCUGCUGGAAUUGCUAGCCUGGCAUUCACAGAAGAUUGUGCCACCCACGAGGAAUGUGUUUUCAGCCCUGAAAUUCCUGGGAGUGAGAGGUGAAGCCAGCUGGAUUUCUGGGUUGGGUGGGGACUUGGAGAACUUUUCUUACAAGAGGAUUGUAAAAUGCACCAAUCAGCACUCUGUAGCUAGCUAGAGUUUUGUAAAAUGCACCAAUCAGUGCUCUGUAAAAACGCACCUAUCAGCACUCUGUAGGUAGCUAGAGGUUUGUAAAAUGGACCAAUCAGCACUCUGUAAAAUGGACCAAUCAGCAGGGCAUGGGCAGGGACAAAUAAGCCAAUAAAAACUGGCCACCCCAGCCUGCAGGGGCAGCCUGCUUGGGUCCUUUUCCACAUUGUGGAAGCUUUGUUCUUUUGCUCUUCACAAUAAAUCUUGCUGCUGCUCAGUC